CAUUACUGGGACAUAAGAAAAAAUUGGAAUAUAGACUGUAAGUUUAAUGUUAAAUUUUUGAACUUGAUAACUGCACUCAAGGUAGAUACAGUGAACAUCCUUGUUCUUAGGAAAUGUACAUGGCAGAAUUGAGCGUUGAAGGAGCUUGAGGUAUACAGUCUAUAUUCAAGUGUUCAGAAAAUGGAUUGAUAAAUAAACCAAUAUAUAGAUAAAAUAGAAUGUUAUGGCAAAGUUAAAAUUGGUGGGUCUUGGCAUCUGGGGUGUCUGGUAGAAGUACACUGAAGUUUUCUGAAUGGGGUUUGCAUUGUUUUUGUAAUUGUCCUGUAAGUUUGGAAGUAUUUUAAAAUAAAUACAUAAAUAAAUAAAGCUGAUAAAGCUCAAAAGGAGUGUUCAGCAUCACCUUCUACUACAUAACUUUCUUGCUCAUGAAAGCAAAACCAAGCUAUUGUUCCUGAGCAGGAAGAAGGUUUGUAGCAGCCUUCUUGUGGCUUGGUUCCCAGAGUAAGGGAGACAAACGAUGAAAGCCAUUGCUGGGUCUCUAGACCUUAGAGGGAGAACAGAGAGGACUUGAUGAGAGCUUAGGGUCUUACAUUUCUGGUUAGGUUCCUCACAUAGGUGAACAGGUUCUGGUUGAUAAAGUUCACAGUAGUGCGAAAGACAUCACGGAGUAAGGAUGGUGUGUGAUCAGCCACCUUCUUGACCAAUAGCAUGGCCAGCAGCAGCAUGGCCUUCUCCUCUUCCAUGUCCCAAGGGUAAGUCCGCAUCAUCUGACCCAGGGCAGCAGCCAGGUAAUUCCUUCUGUCCUGUGCAGGAUAAAACCAGAAGGACCCCAUGGAACCUAGUUUACUAACAUUCUUUUUCCUCAUAAAGGAAGAAUGGUCCCAAACAGCCCCCCAAUGACAAGUGUGAAGAAGCAUGCUUCCCUUUCAGAGAGAGUAGUUACGGAGGUUGGGCAGAUGGAGUGAUAAACAAUUUCAUUCUAGGGGAAAUGGAAAGGAAAGACUGGGGUCACUCCCUGGAGUGACCAAAUGCAUGUUUACGGAGUACCAUGUGCCCCUUAUACAAUGCUAAUGGAAUACAAGACGCUUAAGUCAUGCCUGUCCCGAAGGCACUUAAAAAUCUAGGAGAGUUAAUUACCUAUGAUGUCUUACGUCCUUCUUCCUGGUGCAGACCUACUGAAGGGAGGGAGAUAAGGGGGCUGAGUGUUACAUUCCCGCUUACAUAGGAUAGGCAGACCAUGGCCCUUAGGACUUGAAAGGACCUUCAAGCUCAUCUACUCUCAUGCAAAAUCAAAUAAGAGAAGUUAACAGUGUGGGAGAGGUCCCACGGCAGAACACAACUGGAGGCUUACAUAUUCUAUGACAGCUGCUACAGAACGUGAGAUAAGGAGAUAUCCCGAGAAUGGGGCAAGCCUUCCUGGAGGACAGAUUUGACCUGGCUGAACUUUAAAGAUGAAUAAAUUUAUAGGUGGUGAGGGGCAUCUGCAUUUAAAACAAAACGGAGCCACUCCUCUACAGGCAUUUAUUUGACAGACUUAGGGUAUUGAGUUCUCUCACUGUCUUCAGGAAGGCCACUAUGCUUUGGACUUCUCUUUGCAUCCCCCACAGUACCAAGAAGAUGGUGGAAGUUCAGUAAAUAUUUGUACAGAGAUUGACAACCGUGAAGCCUGAGCAGCUGGCUAAAAUUUUGCUUUUCUUGUCACACCUGGAAGACCACUGAGCCCCAGACCUGGCCAUCAUGAAUGGAGUCACUUCACCAGACCCUGGUCCGCCUGGCCAGAGGCAGAGGACAGAACUUGCUGUUGAACUGACAGUUGGGAAAAUCCUCACACUUCCCAUCUACUCCAGAAGAGGCACGAGAGAGCCUUCUCCCCUCACCUACCUCUUCUGACAGGUUCAUGUUCAUGAACUGCCGGGCCAGGUCAUUCACCAGUCCUGGGUGGAUGCUGCUGUCCAUCCUGUCCCCUAUUUCAGCAAGAUGCCUGGCAAUGUUCUGGAUGAUUUCCUCUUGAUGUCCAGAAUCUGAAUGUUCAGGCAGGGGGCAGGAGAGACAAAGCGGACUCAGACAAUGGCCUUGUCAACAACCUUACUCCACUCUACCCCACCCCAGAAAAAGGAAAGGAGUCUGCUUCAGAACAAACCCCUUUCCUGCCCCACAGCAGCCAUGGAAGUCCUGCUGAGCAUUUGCCCCACUCUCUUGAGAGCCCUGGGGUGAAGACUUGGGGACCAGCAGUUCAGGGAGCAGGAGCAGGGAGAAUGACCUGAGUGAACAGAAAACAGACUCAAGAAGCCCACAGGAAGCUGGGGAUGCUCAGAGGCAUCAGCAUUCAUGUCUGAUUCGUCUGUGUCCAGCUGAAUGAAGGAACUCAAUGAAAUCGAGGUGCCAGGAGCCUCUGUUCUGCCCUUUGCUUCCAGGUGGAAGUAGCUGGAUCGGUUGCCAUCUGUCUGCAGCUCAUCGUCGUGGUAUUCCCACAAGUGAGCCUGCGUGGGAAGUUCAUGGCCCAACAACUCCAGCUCUUUGUGGAAGUUACAGUUGGGGCAGUUUUGGAGGAACCCAAACACCAGCAAGUCUGUGAUGUACUCAUCCUGGAGGCUGGCACCAUUGGUGACCUGGAAUGAAGAAGAGUCACAGAGAUGUAUGGAAACCUGGUCCAAAGCCAGAGACCUUUCCCACACCUGAGCUGGCAGGACUCCGGGAUCUAGUCUGGCCUGUGGUAGCCUCACUGGCCUGAGGUUCUGAAUUGCCCUGUGUGCACAAGAGCUCCUGCAAGAGAUCUCAUCUUGUGGGCAGAGGAGAACCCUGCACCACUUUGAACAACGACAACCCCAGACUCCAAAGAGAAAGCUCCAGUUCUGCGGUGGGUGGGCUUCCUAUCAGGAUAAGAAGCUCCACAAACUGUUUUAGGAAGUAACAUUAUUGAGGUACCCUUUACUUAUCUACAUAAUUUUUACGAAGUCCCACAUACCCUUCAACAACUUGAGGCCACCUUUACUGGCUAUGGUUCUAGUAAUUAAAAGCUUUCUUUUCCAUUCUUUUUUGUUUGGCCAGAUUGGUCCUGUACAAACAGCAGAUUUUCAAUAAAUACUGGGUAGUGGUGAC